GAUGAACGCUAGCGGCAGGCUUAACACAUGCAAGUCGAGGGGUAACAUUGUAGCUUGCUACAGAUGACGACCGGCGCACGGGUGCGUAACGCGUAUAGAACCUACCUUUUACAGAGGGAUAGCCCAGAGAAAUUUGGAUUAACACCUCAUAGUAUUAUAAGAUGGCAUCAUCUAAUAAUUAAAACUUCGGUGGUAAAAGAUGGCUAUGCGUUCUAUUAGCUAGAUGGUAAGGUAACGGCUUACCAUGGCAACGAUAGAUAGGGGUCCUGAGAGGGAGACCCCCCACACUGGUACUGAGACACGGACCAGACUCCUACGGGAGGCAGCAGUGAGGAAUAUUGGACAAUGGAGGCAACUCUGAUCCAGCCAUGCCGCGUGCAGGAAGACGGUCCUAUGGAUUGUAAACUGCUUUUAUAUAGGAAGAAACCUUUCCACGUGUGGAAAUCUGACGGUACUAUAUGAAUAAGCACCGGCUAACUCCGUGCCAGCAGCCGCGGUAAUACGGAGGGUGCAAGCGUUAUCCGGAAUCAUUGGGUUUAAAGGGUCCGUAGGCGGACUAAUAAGUCAGGGGUGAAAUACCACAGCUCAACUGUGGAACUGCCUUUGAUACUGUUAGUCUUGAAUUAUAUGGAAGUAGAUAGAAUGUGUAGUGUAGCGGUGAAAUGCUUAGAGAUUACACAGAAUACCGAUUGCGAAGGCAGUCUACUACGUAUAUAUUGACG
rnacentral:rRNA from 1 species